rnacentral:misc_RNA from 1 species
GGAUUUAGAUAAGGUUCUUGUAGGCCCCGAAUGGACAUAUGAUGAUUAUUGUUAUAAGCUUGAGGCCUUGUGUGUUACGUUUUAUUGGGUGUUUUUGCAAGGGAUUAGGUAGAAUUACAAAGGAAAUUCUACCGAAAUUUUGGCAAAACUCUAGAAUUUAGGUCUUGCUUGUUUAGUUUAAUUUAAUUAUUUUGUUAGUCAAUUAAUAGGGGUCAAUGUAUUUAUCUAGGUAAUCAGGGCUGGCUAUCUUCUUCUUUUUAGUCCACCAAUUGCUAUCGAAUCGACUAGUUUGCGAGUUGGAUAUCAAUUAUUUUUAU